rnacentral:snRNA from 1 species
UAUGGGUGUUGCAAACUC